ACCUGUCUUACUGAAAGGAGACUCCAAAGAGCUUGCGUUGGUUUCAAGCCUGGCCAACAGAGGCUGCGGGGGGAUAAUGCUUGCUCUAUAUUAAUAUAUCAGGGGAUUAACGUUAGGGAGGGAGAGGAAUUAUUUAAGUUAAGCACCAAUGU